UACGGGAGGCAGCAGGUGGGGAAUAUUGCACAAUGGGCGCAAGCCUGAUGCAGCCAUGCCGCGUGUAUGAAAAAGGCCUUCGGGUUGUAAAGUACUUUCAGUCGUGAGGAAGGUGUUAAGGUUAAUAACCUUAGCAAUUGACGUUAGCGACAGAAGAAGCACCGGCUAACUCCGUGCCAGCAGCCGCGGUAAUACGGAGGGUGCGAGCGUUAAUCGGAAUUACUGGGCGUAAAGGGCACGCAGGCGGUUAAUUAAGUUGGAUGUGAAAUCCCCGGGCUUAACCUGGGAAUGGCAUUCAAGACUGGUUAGCUAGAGUCUUGUAGAGGGGGUAGAAUUCCAUGUGUAGCGGUGAAAUGCGUAGAGAUGUGGAGGAAUACCGGUGGCGAAGGCGGCCCCUGGACAAAGACUGACGCUCAUGUGCGAAAGCGUGGGGAGCAAACAGGGAUUAGAUACC
rnacentral:rRNA from 1 species